rnacentral:rRNA from 1 species
UACGAAGGGGGCUAGCGUUGUUCGGAUUUACUGGGCGUAAAGCGCACGUAGGCGGGUCUUUAAGUCAGGGGUGAAAUCCUGGAGCUCAACUCCAGAACUGCCUUUGAUACUGAGGAUCUUGAGUUCGGGAGAGGUGAGUGGAACUGCGAGUGUAGAGGUGAAAUUCGUAGAUAUUCGCAAGAACACCAGUGGCGAAGGCGGCUCACUGGCCCGAUACUGACGCUGAGGCGCGAAAGCGUGGGGAGCAAACGGG